GUGAGAGUCACAGAAACUAACGACCUCUGUUUCAUGACAAAUGGGAACAACGUUGGGAGUAUCAGAAGAGGCUGCUCCUCACUGAUUAUACAACAUGCUCCAAGCCCAACUAAGAUAGCUCAUUUGCAAAGGUGAGAGGUGAAUUCAGCUUUCAUGUCUAUUUAGUCUUUGAUAUAU
rnacentral:sRNA from 1 species